GUUGUUCUUUCACCUUAGAGGAAGAGGAGGGAGGGGAGGUGCAAAAGAUAAUAAGCAUGUGUAGUUUUGAGAAGUUGAGCAGCUUGGAGGUCAAUAAAAAUGGGAAGCACCGUCCGGACACAUCACUUGCUAUUCAAAACAGUGUAUACUUCAGGAGAGGUGAGAUAGGCGACUGGGCAAAUCACUUGACACCUGAAAUGGGAGCACGUCUAGAUGACAUAAUGGAGCAGAAACUCAAGGGUUCAGGCUUGAAGCUGCCCAGGUGACUGUGCCUAGGGUCCCAUUUGCUUAUGAUUAUUGCCCAAGCGGGUUCAUCAAAAGCUGUUAUCAACAUCUCGUGAAACAGAAACUGUGUAUCCCAAUAAAUACCCUCUUUGUUCAUCUCUUGUAUUUCCUAUCAAGUAUUCACAUUUUGUGAAUCAUCCAUGUCAAUAAGCAAUGUUCUUUUGUGAAUCUGUGUUUGUGACUUUCAUUGAUUUCCUUGCAUGCUUGUAAGAAUUCAAAAUGGGAUUCGUUUUUUUAUUUAUUUAUUUAACACAAGUGCAUGCAUUCCAUUAAUCAGUUGGAUAAAAAAUAAAUUUACUCUAAUAUAUAAUAUUAGAGUGUUUUCUUCACAGAAAUUGCAGUGUGUUUUCUUCACAGUUAUACAUGUUUUAAAAGAACCGAGACAACCCAUACAUGAGGGCGGAGCAAAGACCAACCGAGACAACCAUCCAUUAAGAUUGUUGAAUUGCAGAUCAAAUGAACGUAGGCGGCACAUCUGCUGGAAGGAUCUCGAAAUGCCUUGUAAUUGGUUAAAAUAAAGAUCAAGAUCUGUAGGAGAACUCGUGUUUUCCACUCCUAAAAUAAGCCCAGUUGCCGGCUUCAUGUGCAACAGAGGCACAUAGAGAAUCUGAAAGCAGUUUUUAUGCACUAUCAGCAGAAUAAUUUGAUCAGUCAGAAUGAAAACCCCCCCCCCCAGGCUCACAAAUCUUCUUACUUCAAACAAAUCUUUUGGAACCGAUAUAUAUGUCGAGUGAUGGCUUGAUUUAUACCGGAGAUUGUGUUGGAAAAUUAAAGAAGCAUGGCUUAAUUUGUACCUUGGAUGCGCAAAUUGAUUACAGGGAAAAAAUGACAGAAAGUGAGUUGCAGGGAAUGAAAAAGGCAUUAGUAAACUCAACACCUUUCAGGGUAUCGUUCCUUGGUUUGCUCCCUUUUAUUUCUUAUUUUGUUUUUCCUGCCAUUGUCUAAUGUUUUUCUAACUCGCAGUCUGGUCUCUGCAGAGAAUGAGAAAGCACAAACUCUUUAAGAGAAGAUAUUCUCCGGCAAUGGCAUCAAACAGAAAAGUCCGACGUCAACUAAGUGAGUGUAUAGCGUUGCUGCUGUGUUUACAGAAAAACACCAUUGUCAUGUGUUUGGUUACGGUCUAAACAUAAUUUUUUAUCGGUGAGACCCAUUACCAUUUGCAUUUAAACCGCAAGAUAACCAGAAGCAACUUUAAGCUGCGUUUUGUUUUGAGUUGCAAAUUGUGUUAUAAAUAGAGGCCACAAGAAAAAGAGCAGAAACAGAGCAGUGAAUAGUGAUUAGUGGAGAGCAACUCCCUCUCACCACUGACCUCCGCCAGCCACUGCUUUUUCUCUUCUCCUUCUCUUCUCGUUCUCCUUCGUCUUCUGCAUUCUCUACUGUUCACGUGAACAAUGGAGAGUGGAGAGCAGCUCACCAUCAACCCCUGCUGUUUCCACCGCCAGCCACUGCUCUUCCUCUUCCCCUUCUCCUUCGUCUUUUACGUUCUCCACUGUUAAUGUGAACAGUGGAGAGCAGCUCACCACCGGCCUUCACUAUUUCCACUGCCAGCCACUGCUCUUCCUCUUCCCCUUCCCCUUCUCCUUCCCCUUCUCCUUCUCAUUCAUCUUCUGCAUUCUCCACUGUUCAUGGCCGGACUGGGCCUAGCCCAAACCUAAAUGUAUUUGACUGGGUCCGACCCAGUAAAAUAAAAAAAAAUCCAAAUUUUUUUUCUUAAAUAUUGUGUUUUAUUUGAAAAACUAGUGUUUAAAAUUAUUCAAUGACACUACAUAAUUAUAUUAGAAGGAGAUCGCACGAUGACGUAGCAUGUGCAGAAUUUGAUUGCAAUCCUAAUUUUUUUCCUAAUGAUAUUUUACAUGAUGUAAUGAUAUCUUACCUGAUGUUGGUGCAAGUUCAGGAAGCCAUGGAAACUGUAGUUCUUGUCGGAUGGAUUUCGUAUAUGAUUGAAUUGCAAAUAGUUUAAUGGAACAAUAAAAAAUACUUUAUAUAAAGUAUUGUUUAUUUCAUGAUGUAAUAGCAGUAGUUAAAUCUAUAAUAUUUCAAUUAAAAACCAUCAAUAUUAAUAUAUGUCUUUUUUAGUUAUUUUAUAACCUCAAUUUGAAAAGUAUUCUUUAACCAAACACAUUAAACUACUUUUUGUUCAACCUCAAUUUCAACCACAGUUUUAACCAAACAUAUAUUUUUCCAAACUAAUCUAAACUAAAAGUAUUUUUUAUAAAAACAAUUUUUUUCAAACCACAACAGCUACCACAAUACCAAACACACACAAAAAAAACUGUACUGAUAAGUAAGUUACAAUGCCACCACUGAUUUAGGAUCUGCUUUAGAUCUUAUAAGGUGAAAGUUGAAAGCUAGCAAGAAUCGUCACAGAGAUGAACAGAGAAGUGAAUAGAAUUAGAGGGAGAUACUGCAAUGCAGAGGAAGAAGAAAAACAUUUCUGUGUAUAUUCACUUAUAUUUUUUUACCAGCGCUGUUACAUUCAUUUUAUAUGAACCAAGAUGAGAAGCUUGUUUACGUAAUCUAAUCAACAGUAACAGACUUUGUUAACUGUCUAACAAUAUUAACAAACUUUCUAACCAUUGUAUUCUCUAUUCUCUUGACAGGUGGCAGAAGCAGAGCCUUUGAUAUCUUGACAUUCCCCCUCAAUCACAAGCGUGAAGGAACCAAGCAUAAGAUUGGAACAGUGACGCCGAAAUAAAGGAGUGGAAAGACCUUUAGUUAGGAUAUUAGCAAAUUGAUCGGUAGAAGAGACAUGUUGAACCAACAAAUCACCUUUGACAACACGUUCUCAAACAAAAUGAUAAUCAAUUUGGAGAUGCUUCAUUCUGGAAUGGAAGACUGGAUUGGAAGCAAGGGAAAUAGUUGAGAUAUUGUCAUAAUGAAUUAACGGAGGGAUAUGUAAAGGAAUGUGAAUGUCACAGAGCAGUUGGCGAAUCCAGGCAAGUUUGGCAGCAGCAAUUGCUAGAGCCCGAUACUCAACCUCAGUAGAUGAUCGAGAAACAAUAUGUUGUUUCUUAGAAGCCCAAGAAAUAGGACUGGAGCCGAGGAAAACAAUAGAGCCAGAGACAGAACGUCGAUCAUUGGGAUCGCCAACCCAGUCAGCAUCACUAUAAGCUUGUCGAUUAAGAAGACUAGGCUGAAAAUGAAGGCCAAAAUCAAGGGUACCUUUAAGAUACCGCAAGAUUCUUUUGACAGCCACAACAUAAGAAUGCAUGGGAUUAUGCAUAAAUUGACAAGCUCGGUUCAUAGAGAAAGCAAUAUCGAGCCUGGUGAACGUGAGAUACUGCAAUGCGCCAACUAUGCUCCGAUAUUGUUGUGGAUGAGAGUAGGCUUAGCCAUCAUCUUUGAGCAAAUGAUGAUGAGGAAGACAAGAAGUAUCAAAUGAUUUGGAAUUUUGUAAAUCAACUCUAGCAAGUAAGUCUGUGAUAUAACUUAUCUAGGACACAAACAAACCAGAAGGGAGAUAAGAGAUUUGCAAUCCCAAAAAAUAAUUCAACUUACCGGUAUCCUUCAUAUCAAAUUUCUGAGUCAAGGCAGCAAUGACUGAAGAAAGAAGAGAAUAAUGACUGCUAGUAAGAAUGAUAUCAUCUAAAUAGAGUAGCAAUAUCACAACACUAAGAGAAGAAUGCUGAACAAACAAAGAGGGAUCGACAAGAGAUGCUUGAAACCCCAAACAUGGUAAAAAAACUGGUAAAACGUUCAUUCCAGGCACGAGGAGCCUGUUUAAGGCCAUACAAGGACUUUCUUAGUCUGCAAACAAAGUUAGCAGGAUAAAGCUUACUCAUAAAACCUUGGGGUUGAGUCAUAUAAACCUCCUCAUGAAGAAUACCAUGCAAAAAGGCAUUGGUAACGUCAAGCUACCGUAAGGACCAGUUAAACUGAGCUGCAAGAGUAAGAAUUAAACGAACCAUAGUAGGUUUUAUGACAGGACUGAAAGUUUCAUUAUAGUCAAUUCCUUCCUCUUGAAUGAAACCCUUAGCCACCAAUCGAGCUUUAUGCCUAGCUAUAGAACCAUCCGCAUGCUUCUUGAGUCGGUAGACCCAUUUACAGCCAACAAGAUUCUUAGCAGGUGGGAGAGGCACCAAAUCCUAAGUACCUUAUGCAUGAAGAGCAUCAAUUUCCUCCCACAUAGCAGACUGCCAUUCUGGAAAGGUUGAAGCAGCCUUGAAGGAACUGGGUUCAACCUGAGAAAAAGCAACAGACUAUACAGAGGUAAAGUAAGCCUUUCUUUUGGAAAUACCAUUCUUAAACCUGAUGGUCAUUGGAUGAAGAUUCAUCGGUGAAAGAGGUAAGACCACACACAGAUUCUCAGGUUGGAAGUCAGGAUCAAAUCUAGUGACAAAGAAGCGAUUGGUUUGAAUAAAAAAACAGAAAUACCCUUUAUACUGACCAGCAUACCCCAGAAAAAUACAAGUGGAAGUUUUGGGCUGAAGUUUGUUAGUAUUAUAAGGCUUGAGUAAAGGAAAACAAGCACAACCAAAAAUCCACAAAUGAGUAAUGACCAGUGGAGAACCAUAUAACAGGAAAUAAGGUGAUUUGAGUUGAAGAAUUUGACAGGGCAUUCUAUUAAUCAAAUAAAUAGAAGUAGCACAAGCACGAAACCAAAAUUUUGGAGGUAAAUGGGCAGUUUGUAACAGAGUGAUGGCUGUUUCUAAAAUAUACCUAUGUUUGCGCUCAGCAAGGCCAUUCUGUUUCGGAGUAUAGGGACAGGACAUUUGAUGGACAAUACCCUUGGUAAAGAGGUAAUGUUUGAAUUUAGUACUAAGAUACUCACCACCCCCAUCACUUUGAAAGACUCGAAGAGUAGCAGAAAAUUGAGCAACUAAAAAGGUAUGAAAGUAGGCAAAAAUGGAAUAAACCUCUCCUUUAUUGAUCAUCAGAAAAAACCAAGUAAAUCGAGUACAUUCAUCAAUGAAACUAACAUAAUAUCUGAAACCUUCAACAGAUACAGUGGGAGAAGAACCCCAAACAUCACUAUGUAUGACCUCUCAAGGUUUAACAAAUUUAACUGCGGGAUAGGGAAAAGGAAGUUUAGCAAGUUUACCCUCUAAAAAAGUGGUACAAACGAAUUUGGAUGUGUUUGAAGUGAAAGAAAUCUGGGAUUGAUUUAACAGAGUAGAGGUGACUAUGUUAGAGGGAUGACCAAAACGCUUGUGCCAGAGACUUGUGUUGACCUGUUUACCAAGAUAGCAAACUUGAUUAUUUUGAAAGAGAGAUUAUGAAGGAAACGAAAUGGAGAAAGGAAUAGGAUAUAACCCAGCUCUACACAGUCCCUUGAGAAGGACAUUUCCCAUGAAUUUGUCCUGAAUCCAAAAACCAAAAUCAUCACAAAUAAAUCGACAGUUGUUAUCUUUACACAACUUAUGAACCGAUAAUAAGUGUUGAGAUAGCUUAGGCACAUGCAAAACUUGCUUUAAUUGUAAUGAGCAUUGAUGAACAUCUAAAAUAAAAGAACCAAUAUUAGAAAUGGUCAAACUUGAACCUCCUGUAGUGGUAACAGUAUCAGAUCCUGAGAAAGGUGUAGCCAGAUUGAGUUGAGCCAAAUCAGAAGUCAUAUGUGUUGUGGUGCCAUUAUCAGCCAGCCAUAAUUGUUCAGGAGGGGAAGAAGAUGGAAAAUUGGCAUGCAUAGCACUAAGAUUACUGGAGGGAGGCCUGCCUUGAUAGCUGAAAUUACCUCUAUGAUAACAUUGAACGGCAGAGUGCCCAAAUUUUCAACAAAUUUGACAUUGAAUGGAAGUGGCAAAAGUACUUAGCAGAGUGUGGCGUUGAUAACAAUUAGCAGCUACAUGACCUUUUUUAGUACAAAUUUGACAUGUAGGAAUGUCAAUGCCAGAACCAAGAAUGCCAGGAUUAGAAGUAGGUGGAACCUAAUAAGGGCGUGGACUAGAUUGAUAAUGAUUACGUCCUCUGCCAUAACCCUUAAAAUUAAACCCCUGAUUGCCAAAGUAUCCUCCAGUAGAACCAUGAAAGCUACUGUGAUGACCAUUAAAUCCUCCAUUGAAACCAGAAGGAAAUUAAGAUGGUGGAGCAGACUUGGAGCUAGAAGGAUGAGAAUUAGAGUUACCUUUAUCAAGAGCAAGAGCCUUGCCAGGAGAUAUUUGAUGUUGAGCCAUCACUGCAGGAACAAACAGGGAAGCAGAAUAAGUUUGCUCAAGAAUGGCUUCUUCAGCUAGCAAUUGAGACCGAAAAUCUUUAAGGGAUAACACGUUGUCUCGGUCGCGAACAAUACACCUAAAGGUGUUAUAAUUAGAAGGAAGACCAUUGAGAGCCAAGAUUACAAUAUCAUCAUCUUCAAAAUAAACCCCUGCUACAGAAAGAUGGUCUCGAGCAUCUUUGAUCUUUUACAGAUAUUGAGACACAGAAUCUGAGCCCUUCUUGAUGGUUUGAAGCUCACUUUUCAUCUGAAAAAUAUGUGCCUUAGUAAUUGUGGAAAAUCUAUUCUUCAGUUGAAUCCACAUGUCAUGAGAGCUAACACAUUCAAUAACAUAGGAGAUUGCAGUUGAUGAGAGAGUAGCAAUAAUCAACUGCAUCAAUGUCCGGUCAUACAUUUUCCAAACCUGAUGAUCAUCAGUUUCAACACAUUCAAGGUCAGCAUCUGCAUCAAACCGAUUUGGACACUUUCUUGAUCCAUCAACAAAUCCUAAAAUACCAUAACUCUCAAGUAGAAUAUGCAUAUGAAAAUUCCAGAUGAGAUAAUUUGUGUCAUCCAGCUUGACUGUUACAGCUGUUGAAACUGUAGGAAGUAAACAGGUAAUAGGAGAUUGAACAAUUUAAAGUUGAGAAGUAGUCACCAUUUUAGAGUUCAAGAGAUAGCGAGGAAGAGAAUCACAUACGAUAGGCAUAGUCCCAGAUUUGAGAAGAGAGUUGAAGAAGAAUUUUUCAGUUUGACAAUAUAUCAAAUAGAUGAUAGGUAGAUCAAUUAUUAUGAAAGAAUUGGUUGAUUAAGGCGAUAAUAAUACCAGAAACAGAGAGUAGCAAGAUAUUAGAAGCAGAGAAAUCACAGGAUCACAAGAUAAUAACAAUCCUAAGCUCUGAUACCAUGAAAGCUAGCAAGAAUCAUCACAAAGAUGAACAGAGAAGUGAAUAGAAUUAGAGGGAGAUACUGCAAUGCAGAGGAAGAAGAAAAACAUUUCUGCAUAUAUUCACUUAUAUUUUUACCAACAUUGUUACAUACAUUCAUUUUAUAUGAACCAAGAUGAGAAGCUUGUUUACGUAAUCUAAUCAACAAUAACAGACUUUGUUAACUAUCUAACAAUAUUAACAAACUUUUUAACCAUUAUAUUCUUUAUUCUCUUGACAGGGCAGAAGCAGAGCCUUUGAUAUCUUGACAAAAGUAAAACACAAGGAAAUGCAUGCAUGCACACCACUAAUCUUUGAUUCUGGCGAGAACAGUGAUGACUACACUCUGAACCAAAUAGAAUUACAUUCCGAGAUGAAGAAAUUAAUAACACAGAGCAGUGCUAUAAAGCUACAUGUGAAACCAGAGAUUAAUAAGCAAUGCUGAAAAUUUUAUCAAGCAUAAGACGAGAGAAGCAUAGGACAUAUUUUUCCCACAAUUGAAUAUGUGAAUUGAGCACAGAUUUCCCUGUUGCAAACUGUUCCUAAUUUCUCAAAUGAUUAACUAGAAUACGAGUUGCACUUAAAAUUUUAAAGCAACAUAUAUGCUCUUGAUUUUUAGUGAAUUGCUGAAACAAACAUACAAGCUCGAUCACACCUCUAGAACAGAGUGACAGUUCAUGGUGACCUCAAAGACUGCAUCAAGUCCUCCAAGCUCUCGUAACUUUUCCCUAAAGCCCCCCCCAGUCUUCCUUAAUUACCAUGCCAGAUGUAUCUGAAUGAAUGCAACCCAUACAGUGAAAUGAAUAAGCAAUCAGAAAAGGAGAGAGAGAGAGUGAAAAAAUUUGUCACAAAACUAGAUAAUGGCGACCACAUAUCAAUAAUUCGAGAUAUGACGUGGGGCACUUUCAUCGUGAUUAUUGUUUGUCCAAUAAUGUUGGAUGUAUUAUUUCUUGUUAAGACUUUUUAGGUUGUGAAAAGUCCAAGAUGUAGUAUAAUAAAAUAAAUAUAACCUUUGAUUUUAUCAUUUAUAUUGAGCUGAAAUUUUGACAUACAAUUCUAAAGAUUUUGUGGUUAAAAUUUCAAGAUCUUAAAAAAAAGACCUUUAAAUAAGGAUUUAAAGUUACUAUGAGAUGGUCUUUAUUUACCUAUUUGGUAUUGUUUUUAUUUAUAUUAGGAAUUUUAAUUUAAUUAGUAUUUUAUUAUUAAAAAAUUCUAAUAAUAGAUUGAUUCUAUUAGUUAGGCAAGUUUUAAAUACAAUUUAUUUUUCUAUACAAAAUUUUAUAUCUAGAACAAAUAUAAAUAAAAAUAUUUAGUUUAUUUUUUGUUCGGGUAUUCAUAUUAUUAUUAAGAUUUUUUAAAAAUAUUUAGAGAUUUUUUUUUAUUUCGCUAUUGUGUUAGGACUAUAACCUUAAGGUUUGGAUGUUUGUGAAAGUGGAAGCGGUUACUUUUUAAAAUGUUUUUCACUUAGAAAUGCAUCAAAAUCAUAUAUAUAUUUUUUAUUUUUUAAAAUUAAUUUUUGACAUCAAAACAAUGCAAAAACACCAAAAAAUUAAUUUGAAAAAAAAUCAAAAAUUUUGAAAACCUCGAUCAAAAUGUUGUACCAAACACCCUCUUAGUUUUAUCUUAUUUUUAAAAAAUAAUUCUUGAUAUUAGCAAACAAAACAAUUUAAUAACACAAAAAAAUUAAUUUUAAAAAAUCAAAAUCUUAAAAAACUCUCGUCUAAAUGUUUGCUUUUAGUUUUAUCAUCGUUGCACUGCGUAAAGAUGCUAAAAAGAAAAUAGUUGAUAUAGCCACCUAAGUGCUGGUGGUGUUUCAGAGUGUAGUAGCGAUUGUUUUUUAAAGUGUUUUUUACUCGGAAAUGCAUUAAAAUAAUAUUUUUUUAUUUUUAAAAAAUUAUUUUUAACAUCAGCAUAUCAAAAUGAUCUGAAAAUACUGAAAAAAAUAUUAAUCUAAAUUAAAUAAAAAAAUAAAAAAAAAUCAAUCUCUUUUAAAAAUAUUUUUAAAAUGCAGAAACAAACAGGAUCUCUCAACCUGCUACAAAUAACUGCUGCAAUGGCCUUUCUUUAAUAUUUUACUUACACCAUUCUGCACAAUAUUUUCUUUUGUACAUCCAUGGAACCCUCUUUGCCUUCUACACAAAUUCAAAGCCCAUGCUAAAAACUACAAGGAAAUGAUCUCUACCUUUCUACAAGUUAAAGGCUUUUGGUACUUUCCGUCCUUCUUGGGAAGACCCAUCUCAGUUCAAGAACACUUCGAGCCUCAAUCCACUGAUAUAUUUGUCGUCAGCUUCCAAAAACGAAGGAAAUCUUUGGUUAAUGUUCUCUAAUAAGUACUAACACCUUUUCUCCUUCAACAGUGAAAUUUACGUGCCUUUCACACCUUUUUACGUUCGAACAUUUCAUUUGUUCUUGUGCUCUAAAUUCUAAAUUGAGUCUGUUUUUGUGAGUUCCAUUCUUCUAUUUAAAAGAUUAGAAAACGCAAGAUUGCAUCAAUGCUAAAUGCAAUUUCAAUAUCUGUGUGUGUGUCAAAUGCAUGGUGAUGUUACAUGAUGUGUUUGUUUUUACGUUUCAAAAAUAUUUUUUUAAAAUUAAAUUUUAUUUAUUUAUUUUUUAUUUUAAAUUAAUAUUUUUUAGUUUUUUCGGAUUAUUUUAAUUUACUGAUAUCAAAAUUAACUUUUUUAAAAUAAAAAAAAUAUUAUUUUAAUACAUUUCUGAGUAAAAAAUACUUUGAAAAGUAACUGCUACUACACUUCCAAAUAUACCCUUAAAAAAACAAAGUUAUGGAGUUGGAGGCUCUAAAUAUUCCUCAAAAUAUCAAGUCUUAAGGGCUCGGAGCUAUUAUCCAGUCUUAAAAUUUUUGCAUUUUAAAAAUAUUUUUAAAAAAAUGAAUAUUUUUUACUUUUUUUUAUUUUAAACUAUAUUUUUUUCUUUCUGUUUUUAUAUUGUUUUUAUGUAAAAAAUAAAUUUUAAAAAAUAUAAAAAUAUUUUUUUAAAAACAAUCACCAUACAAUAACAAAUAAAAUAUUAAUAUGAAAUAAAAUCUAAUUCUACCAGCAGACAGCUGAUAAGAAUACUAAAAAAGUGUAAAUUUUGACUUAAUUCAAUUAUUAGAAUUUGGGGCAGCGUAACAGUGUCAAAGAAAAUGUCAGAAAAGUAGGGCAAACAGUGCAAAUACCUUGGAUGAUGGUGACCAAAUAUUUGUAAUUUGAGACAUCUCGUUCUUGAAAAGAAAUAGUUAAUAGUGCCAAUAAUUUUUUUUUAUUAAUUUGAGGUGUUCAGACCAGUUUGCAUGCACCUCGACUAAUACUUACGGUUCUUGAAGUUAACGAAUAAAUAAGCCUCCAGUGGCCAUCAAUAUUAACAACUACAAGGCUCGAACUUGAGACCACAGGGGGGCAAACCCCUUGAUCCAAAACUCUUACCACUUGACCACCUACUAGAUGGUUAGUACCAAUAAUUAAUUUGCUCUCAACUUGCUACAAAUAGCUGCCAUGAUCACAUAUUCAAGAAACACUAGUUUAAGAGCUUGGGAUCAAGAGGUUUGCUCCCUCUGUAGUCUCAGGUUCAAGCCCUGUGGUUGCUCAUAUGAUGGCCACUGGAGGCUUACAUGGUCGUUAACUUCAGGGCCCGUGGGAUUAGUAGAGGUGCGUGUAAGCUGGCCCGGACACCCACGUUAAACUAAAAAAAAAAAAACACUAGUUUAUAAACCCUGAGGGGUAGCUCAACUGGUUAGAUUUUGAGUAUGUUUCCUAAUAAUCACGAGUUUGAGUUCUUUUAGGCCAACUGGAGGCUUACAUAGUUUUAAACUUCAGGACUCGUGAAAUUAGUAAAGGUACAUACAAAUUCAGUGGUGGAGCCAGAAAUUUUUAAAUGAGGAGGCAAAUUACUAACAAAUAUUUGAUAUUAUAUGCUAUACAUAUAUAUGUUAUAUAUAGAAAUGAAUUUGAAAUACAUGUGCCUCAAGUCAAGCAAAAUUAAUUUAAGAAUACUUUUAAAAUGAAAAAAACUUAUGUUAUAAUUGUUUUCUUCGAGAUUUUAUAUUUUAAAACUGCUUCAUAAUAAUUUUAUUUUUAAUUUCAUUAAAAAUAUAUUUCUCAAUAUAUACAACAAACUUUCAUUUAUCUAUUUCUAAAUCUUCCAAGUACUAGGAAAGUUGUUGACAACAAUUUUAUGCUGACAUAUGGUACAUAACAUCUAAAAUCAUAUCUUAAAAGAAUUGUCAUAAAUUGAAGUUGUUCUUACUGACUUGUUGUUUUGUACAAGUAGAUUAAAUAUAAAUAUUAAAUGUUUUUUUAAAUUUAUCUAUUAUGUCUCUAAUUUUUUUAGUUGUCUUAUACUUCAUUUUUAAUCAUUAGUAAAUUCAUUAUCAUCGUUUUUCAUAUGAAAUUCAUAACAAAACUUAUCAAUUCAUCAAAACUCAUUUCAAUUCAUAUCCAUUAGCAUAUAAUAUUACCCAUACACAUAUUAAUUCAACAAACCCAUAAAUUAUUAUAAACCCUAACAUUUUUAAUAACUAAUUUUUGGAGAUGUAGACCCAGUAUUUUUGGAGCUUCCAUAUCUAGUUGACCUAUCAGGAAGAGAUGAAGUUAACGUUUGGGAAUGCGGUGCAAACCAUGUUCCCCUAAAAUUAAAUUUUUUUUUGUUAAAAAUUAAUUUUUUGGUAUAUUUUGGAUCGUUUUGAUGCGCUGAUCUCAAAAAUAAUUUUUAAAAAAUAAAAAAACAUCAUUUUGAUGCAUUUCGGCACAAAAAAUACUUUGAAAAGCAACUGUAACCACACUCCUAUACAAGUAAAGUCUCUAACAGCACAAGUAUAAAAAAUAUAACUGCUGGGCAAACCAACUCUUUUCUCAAACCCAUCAGUUGCCUCAUGAUAUAUAUAUAUAUAUACACAUAUAUAUAUAUAUAUAUAUAUAUAUAUAUACACACACACACCAUGCAUAGAAUUCAUGGAUAAAAGAAAGGAAUUGGAUCUGAUUUGAGGUGGGGGGAUUGCCCCCUCUUGCCUUUAUGUGGCUCCGCCACUAUAUAAAUUAGUUUGGAUAUUUACAUUAAUUAAAAAAAAAAUACUGGUCUAGAAAAGCGAUCUACAAGGUGAUUAUUUAGUUGACUAAUUGAAUCUGUUUUUUAUAAAAAAAAUAUUUUAGAAGAUAAUUUUUAAUAAUUUUAGAUUUUUUUAUAUAUAAAUAUCAAAAAUAAAAUUAAAAAAAUAACAAAAUAUUAUUUUAAUAUAAUUUUAAAUAAAAAACACAUUUAAAAAAACUUAAUAGUAUACUCUCAACCAAGGUUGUCAAUUCCGUUUCGGUAGGUGUUUCGUUUUUUUAAUUGGAAUGGAAUGUUUCAGUUUCGGAGUGUUUCGGCGUGCCGUUCCGGGGUUGUACUGUUCAUAUAUAUAUAUUCAACAAACAUAAUUCAAAUUCAAGAUAAAUUAAUUAUAAAUUAUGCAAUACAAACACAAUGCCAAACAAAUAUAAUUUCAAAAUUUAAAAUAUUUCUAAAUAGUCAAGAUUAAAUAGAUCUUUACCUUAAAGUAAUUCAACUUAAACAAAAUAUCAAAAUAUUAUGAAAGUAAAAUGUUUUAACAUAAAUAUUUUAAAUAUAAAGUUAGGUCAAUGUUAUCAAGGCUAAUUGAAUCUAAAGCAUCCCUUGGUUUGCUCAAAUUUCUACAAAGUAUAAACAUGAAAAAAAAACAUGAAUAUAAACCUUAUAUAUUAGUGAUAAAUCUAAUUUUAAAAAAUUAAUAUCAUUGUUAAUGAAAAUAGUAAUAAUAAUUUUCAAUAUUAUUAUUAAUAUCAUUGUUAUUGAAAAUAGUAAUGAAAAAGAGCCUUUUAUAAUUGGGUGAUUUAAUUAAUUAAAUUGAACAAAAUUCAAUUUGAUUCAAUGGAUUUUCAAGAACGGAACGAAACAAGUGGAAUGAAACCGGAACGUUCCGGGUGGAAUUUAGCCGAAAAAUACAGAACAGACCGAGAUUUAAAAUAAAAUGAAAUUUAUUUUAUUUUUUAAAUUGGUAUGAAAUAUUUCGUUUAUUUCAUACGAAACAAAACAGAAUUGACAACUUGCUCUCAAGCACCCAAAAUAGAGGAUUCAAUUGUAUUGUGGGUUCCACACCAUUUAAAGCUUGCAAAGAAGGAUUUGAAACACAAUCACACUAAAGAUUUGCAAUGGAAUAUAAUAUAAAAUAAUACCCAAUGGCAUCAGCGGACAUGUAAUCAAUAAUAUUAAAAUACAGUAAAUUUUGAUUUAAUUCAAUUAUUGGAUUCUAGGCAGCGUGACAAUGUCAGAAAAUCUUGGAUGAUGGUGACCAAAUAUAUCAGUAAUUUGAGACAACACGUUCCCGAAAGGUAAUAGCUGAUGGUGCCAAAAAUUAAACCAGCUCUCAACUCGCUACAAAUAGCUGCCAUGGCCUUUCAUUCUACCUUAUAUUUCUUUUUUAACUUUCAUGGAAUCCUCUUUGCCUUCCUCCCAAAUCUUGGAUUCUGAUGGAAAUGCUGAGAGGAAAAAUGAAGCUAAAAAUUACAAUGAAGUGAUGUCCACCCUUCCAAAAGUUAAAGGCUUGAGGGGGGAUGAUUAUUACCUGUACCAAGGCUUUUGGUACGCUCCCUUCUUCUUGGAAAGACUCAUGUCUGUUCAAGAGCACUUCCAUCCUCAAUCCACUGAUAUAUUUGUCGCCAGUUUUCCAAAAACUGGCACAACUUGGCUUAAGGCCCUCACUUUUGCUAUUUUCACACGAUCCCGUUUAAGUGGUUCAACAACUAGUUCUUUACUUUCCAAGAUGCCACAUGACUGUGUUCCUUUUUUGAAUUAUAACCUUGCUCAAAACCCCAGUAAUCGGGACUUGACAAUUCCUCUGCUAUCUACUCAUGUUCCUUACAGUUGUUUACCUAAAUCUAUCAUUUCUUCUUGUUGCAAGAUUAUUUACAUUUGCAGGGACGCAAAGGAUGCUUUUGUUUCUUUGUGGUACUUUCAUGCCACGUUGCAAAGGUCGAAAAAUGUUGAGCCUCUUCCUCUGGAAGAGGCUUUUGAGCUGUUCUGCAAUGGAAUUGCAAAUUUUGGACCCUACUGGAACCAUGUUUUAGGGUACUGGAGAGCAAGCUUGGAGUUCCCCGAGAAGAUACUGUUCUUGACAUAUGAGGAAAUGAAGAAAGACACCGCUGCUCAUGUUAAGAAAUUAGCUGAGUUCAUGGGUUGUUCUUUCACCCUAGAGGAAGAGGAGGAAGGGGAGGUGCAAAAGAUAAUAGGCAUGUGUAGUUUUGAGAAGUUGAGCAACUUGGAGGUGAAUAAAAAUGGGAAGUGCCUUCUAGACAUAUCAAUUCCUAUUCCAAAUAGUAUAUUCUUCAGGAAAGGUGAGAUAGGCGACUGGGCAAAUCACUUGACACCUGAAAUGGGAGCACGUCUAGAUGACAUAAUGGAGCGGAAGCUCAAGGGUUCAGGCUUGAAGCUGCCCAGGUGACUGUGCCUGGGCCCCGUUUGCUUAUUAUUAUUGGCUUAGUGGGUUCGUCAAAAGCUGUUAUCAACAUCUCGUGAAACAGCAACCGUGUAUCCCAAUAAAUACCCUCUCUGUUCAUCUCUUGUAUUUCCUAGCAAGUAUUCACAUUUUGUGAAUCAUCCAUGUCAAUAAGCAAUAUUCUUUUGUGAAUCUGUGUUUGUAACUUUCAUUGAUUUCCUUGCAAGUUUGUAAGAAUUAAAAAUGGGAUUCGUUUUUUAUUUAUUUAUUUAACACAAGUGCAUGCAUUCCAUUAAUCAGUGAUAAAAAAAAAUAAAAUUACUCUACUAUAUAAUAUUAGAGUGUUUUCUUCACAGAAAUUGCAGUGUGUUUUCUUCACACUGCAAUACAUGUUUUAAAAGAACCGAGACAACCAUACAUGAGGGCGGAGCAAAUACCAACCGAGACAACCAUCCAUUAAGAUUGUUGAAUUGAAGAUCAAAUGAACAUAGGCGGCACAUCUGCUGAAAGGAUCUCGAAAUGCCUUGUAAUUGGUUAAAAUAAAGAUCAAGAUCUGUAGGAGAACUCGUGUUUUCCACUCCUAAAAUAAGCCCAGUUGCCGGCUUCAUGUGCAACAGAGGCACAUAGAGAAUCUCCCCCCCCCCCCCUCCAGGCUCAGAUCACAAAUCUUCUUACUUCAAACCAAUCUUUUGGAACCGAUAUAUAUGUCGAGUGAUGGCUUGAUUUAUACCGGAGAUUGUGUUGGAAAAUUAAAGAAGCAUGGCUUAAUUUGUACCUUGGAUGCGCAAAUUGAUUACAGGAAAAUAUCAAAAAAAAAUUUCCUUUCUUUAUAACUUAUGAAGAGUAAAAUAAAAAAAAAGUUAAUAGUAAAACAAAAUAACCCCAAGUGUACAUUAUCAAUGCAAAACUAGAUUUUUCCUUAUUUUAUAUCCCUUUCUUUUGAUAUACUUCUUCUUUUAUGCCCCUUUCUUUUGGUAUAUCUCUUCUUUGUAUCUUUUGGUGUUAAUCACUUUGUUGAAUGCCUCUGUUGAUAUCUUUUAUAACUCACUACAGUGAUUUGAACAUUGAAAAUGUUUCCUUUUAAAAAAAAAAAAUAGAGAAGGCAUUUUGAUUUCAUCUUCAAUUUUUCUGCAUGUCUUCUUCUUUCAAAGUAUUGGGUUUAAAACACAAUCAUGCUCUACAUCAUGCUUUGAGUUUUCCAGGUUAUUUUCAGAAAGAUUUGAUAUAUUUGACCUGAAAGAAAAAAAGGAUGUACAAAGCUUUGCAUUUCUGGAACGUCUUUUCAUCAUGCUCUACAUGAUUCAAUCACAUUGCUCACAUCUACAUGAGUAACCAGAAAAGCAAGUAUUUCAUCGGAUUCUACAUGAUUCGAUCACUUCGCUCACAGCUUUAUGAGUCUCUGGUGAUAUCGUGUUUAAUUAAAUAGAAUAUUUAUUAUAAGAAACAGAUUUAUCAAAUAUAAUUGAGUAUAUGCCUCAUCAUAUCAAAUAUUUUAAUUAGAUGUAACUAUCUAGGUGGUGGUUCAGUGGUAAAAGUUUGGGACCAAGAUGUUUGUUCCCUCUGUGGUCUCAGGUUCGAGCCCUGUGGUUGCUCAUAUGAUGGUCAUUGGAGGCUUACAUGGUCGUUAACUUCAGGGCCCGUGGGAUUAGUCAAGGUGCACGCAAGCUGAUCCGGACAUCCAUGUUAAACUAAAAAAAUAUAUAUAUUUUAAUUAGAUGCGUGUGUACAAGUAUUUUAAUUUAUGAUUAAGAAUUUUUUUAUAUCAAAAAAAAAUUAAAAAGUCUGUAUAUUUAUUUUUCCUUGUUAAAACAAUUAUCUGAAAUAGCCAGUAAUCAACUAACUAUGAAAGAUAAGAUUGAGAAUUGAGAAGUUUAUUUGUCAGCAGACAGUAGCUUCAGUAGAUGGAAAAAGACUCUCUAGAUCACCGGAUCAAUUCCCACCUUCAUGAACUAUUUUUUAUUAGUACAGAAAGCUUCAUAUCAGUCAAAACUCUCUCUCUCUCUCUCUCUCUCUCUCUCUCUCUCUAAAUGGAUCAGAGACUACACAAAUAUAGAGGUGGAGCUUCACAUUAAGCUUCAGAUCAAUUUUCUAUUUUAAAAUCUCAUAAGUUUGGUCCAUUGAUUGCCCUAGAUUGCCCUAGAUUUUCCUGUGUUUUAUAUCCUUUUCUUUUGACAUUUUUUUUAAUCUUUUUCCAGGCCAAAAUCCUAAUUUAAUGUUUGAAAUUGAGAUGAUAAUUAUUUAACUAGAAAAUAUAUUAAAAUAAUAUUUUUUAUUUUUAAAAAUUUAUUUUAAUCAUCACCACAUUAAAACAAUCUAAAAUUAUAUAAAAAAAUUAAAAUAAUAAGAUUUAAAAAUAUUUUUUAAACACAAAAACAAACACAAUCAUCACUCAUAUAUCAUGAGAUUUGCAUUUAGACAUUAAAAUUCAAGAAGAAAUUAAGUUCACCGUACUAUUAAUUCAGUCGAUGAAGGAUUAGUCCCAACUACUUUAGGCCACCAUUAAUUACUUUAUUUAAAUGUAUACUUCUUUAUUAAUUCAGUCGAUGAAGGAUUAGUCCCAACUACUUUGGGCAUUUUAACUCCAUCUUCAAUUACUUUAUUUAAAGGUAUCCUUCUUUCUUAGAUAUUGAAUUUUGAAAACACAAUCAUGCUAAAGAUUUGUCAACGAAUUGUUUUUUAAAAUAAAAAAAUAUUUUAAAAAAUAAUUAAUACCAUACUACCGAGCAAAUGAAGUUAUGUGGAGGGUUCCGCACCAUUUAAAGGUUGUAAAGAAAGGUUUAAAACACAAUGACGAUAAAGAUUUGCUAUCGAAUAUAAUAUGAAAUAAUAAUACCCAAUUGCAUCAGCGGACAUGUGAUCAACAAUAUUAAAAUUCUGUAAAUUUUGAUUUAAUUCAAUUAUUGGAAUUCCAGGCAGCGUGGCAAUGUCAGAAAAUCUUGGACGAUGGUGACUAAAUGUUUGUAAAUGGAGACGGCACGUUCGCGGAAGGUAAUAGUCGAUGGUGCCAAAAAUUAAAUCAGCUCUCAACUCGUUACAAAUAGCUGCCAUGGCCUUUCAUUCUACAUUAUUUUUUCUUUUUUCACAUUCAUGGAAUCCUCUUUGCCUUCCACCCAAAUCUUGGAUUCUGGUGAAAGUGCUGAGAGGAAAAAUGAAGCUAAAAAUUACAAUGAAGUCAUGUCCACCCUUCCAAAAGUAAAAGGCUUGAAUGGGUGUGAUUAUUACCUGUACCAAUGCUUUUGGUACGAUCCCUCCUUCUUGGAAGGAAUCAUGUCUGUUCAAGAGCGCUUCAAUCCUCAAUCCACUGAUAUAUUUCUCGCCAGUUUUCCAAAAACUGGCACAACUUGGCUUAAGGCCCUCACUUUUGCUAUUUGUACACGAUCCCGUUUAAGUGGUUCAACAACUAGUUCUUUACUUUCCAAGAUGCCACAUGACUGUGUUCCUUUUAUGGAAUAUGACCUUGCUCAGAACCCAAGUAAUCGGGACUUGGCAAUUCCUCUGGUAUCUACUCAUGUUCCUUACACUUGUUUACCUAAAUCUAUCAUUUCUUCUUGUUGCAAGAUUAUUUACAUUUGCAGGGACGCAAAGGAUGUUUUUGUUUCUUUGUGGUACUUUCUUGCCAGGCUGCAAAUGUCUGAAAAUGUUGAGCCUCUUCUUCUGGAAGAGGCUUUUGAGUUGUUUUGCAAUGGAAUUGCAAAUUUUGGACCCUACUGGAACCAUGUUUUAGGGUACUGGAGAGCAAGCUUGGAGUUCCCCGAGAAGAUACUGUUCUUGACAUAUGAGGAAAUGAAGAAAGACACCGCUGCUCAUGUUAAGAAAUUAGCUGAGUUCAUGGGUUGUUCUUUCACCCUAGAGGAAGAGGAGGAAGGGGAGGUGCAAAAGAUAAUAGGCAUGUGUAGUUUUGAGAAGUUGAGCAACUUGGAGGUGAAUAAAAAUGGGAAGUGCCUUCUAGACAUAUCAAUUCCUAUUCCAAAUAGUAUAUACUUCAGGAAAGGUGAGAUAGGCGACUGGGCAAAUCACUUGACACCUGAAAUGGGAGCACGUCUAGAUGACAUAAUGGAGCGGAAGCUCAAGGGUUCAGGCUUGAAGCUGCCCAGGUGACUGCGCCUGGGUCCCAUUUGCUUCUG
rnacentral:lncRNA from 1 species